rnacentral:ncRNA from 1 species
GCAUGGCUAUCGUUAGCUUGUGUCGUGAGAUGUUUGAUCAAGUCCUAUAAUGAGCGAAACCCUUGUUUUGUGUUGCUGAGACAUGUGACUAAGGAGAAAUUGUGGUACGUAGUGGUAAUAGUACGCGCCCCGCUCCGAAACAAAGAAAAAGGUGCGUGCCGCACUCACGAGGGACUGCCAGUGAGAUAUUGGAGGAAGGUGGGAUGACGGUAGCAAAUAU